GUGUAAUUCGACCCAACACGGGAAAGCUCAUCCGGCCCGGACACUGUGAGGAUUGACAGACUGAUAGCUUUUUCUUGGUUCGGUGGGUGGUGGUGCAUGGCCGUUCUUAGUUGGUGGAGCGAUUUGUCUGGUUAGUCCCGAUAAGGAACAAAACUCAUAAUUACAUUGUGAAAUAAAUCACUAUCGAGCUAACGGUUGUACAGUUAAAUUGAAGUGAUUUUGUGGAGACUGAUUUAAUUUGUUGGUUACAUUCGAACACCUUGUGAACACAGGUCACUCAAUCAAGACAGACUCUGCGUUCAAAGUCAUCUACAAGGUAAGUAGAAGCCUUCCUAAGACAAUUAGACUGCA
rnacentral:ncRNA from 1 species